rnacentral:rRNA from 1 species
AUUGAACGCUGGCGGCAGGCCUAACACAUGCAAGUCGAGCGGAUGAGUGGAGCUUGCUCCAUGAUUCAGCGGCGGACGGGUGAGUAAUGCCUAGGAAUCUGCCUGGUAGUGGGGGACAACGUUUCGAAAGGAACGCUAAUACCGCAUACGUCCUACGGGAGAAAGCAGGGGACCUUCGGGCCUUGCGCUAUCAGAUGAGCCUAGGUCGGAUUAGCUAGUAGGUGAGGUAAUGGCUCACCUAGGCGACGAUCCGUAACUGGUCUGAGAGGAUGAUCAGUCACACUGGAACUGAGACACGGUCCAGACUCCUACGGGAGGCAGCAGUGGGAAUAUUGGACAAUGGGCGAAAGCCUGAUCCAGCCAUGCCGCGUGUGUGAAGAAGGUCUUCGGAUUGUAAAUCACUUUAAGUUGGGUAGGAAGGGCAGUAAGUAAUACCUUGCUGUUUGACGUUACCAACAGAAUAAGCA